rnacentral:tRNA from 1 species
AACCGUGUAGCUCAGUAGGUAGAGCGUCGAUCUAGUAAUUCGAAGGUCGCGGGUUCGAGACCGAGCCGCGGCAG